rnacentral:rRNA from 1 species
CCUACGGGCGGCUGCAGUGGGGAAUAUUGCACAAUGGGCGCAAGCCUGAUGCAGCCAUGCCGCGUGUGUGAAGAAGGCCUUCGGGUUGUAAAGCACUUUCAGCGGGGAGGAAGGCGGUGAGGUUAAUAACCUCAUCGAUUGACGUUACCCGCAGAAGAAGCACCGGCUAACUCCGUGCCAACAGCCGCGGUAAUACGGAGGGUGCAAGCGUUAAUCGGAAUUACUGGGCGUAAAGCGCACGCAGGCGGUCUGUCAAGUCGGAUGUGAAAUCCCCGGGCUCAACCUGGGAACUGCAUUCGAAACUGGCAGGCUAGAGUCUUGUAGAGGGGGGUAGAAUUCCAGGUGUAGCGGUGAAAUGCGUAGAGAUCUGGAGGAAUACCGGUGGCGAAGGCGGCCCCCUGGACAAAGACUGACGCUCAGGUGCGAAAGCGUGGGGAGCAAACAGGAUUAAUACCCUGGUAGUC